rnacentral:rRNA from 1 species
ACGCACGCUGGCGGCGUGCUUCACCCCUGCCAGUCGAACGGAAAGGCCUGCUUUCCCUUGUGGAUUGCGGGUACUCGAGUGGCGAACGGGUGAGUAACACGUGAGUGAUCUGCCCCCAACUUGGGUAUAAGCCUGGGAAACUGGGUCUAAUUCCCGAUAGGACUGCAGGGUGGUGCCUGUGGUGGAAAACGAUUUUCUAGUGGUUGGGGAUGAGCUCGCGGCCUAUCAGCUUGUUGGUGGGGUAAUGGCCUACCAAGGCGGCGACGGGUAGCCGGCCUGAGAGGGUGGACGGCCACAUUGGGACUGAGAUACGGCCCAGACUCCUACGGGAGGCAGCAGUGGGGAAUAUUGCACAAUGGGCGGAAGCCUGAUGCAGCGACGCCGCGUGGGGGAUGACGGCCUUCGGGUUGUAAACUCCUUUCGACCGCGAGGAAGCCACCUGGUUGGAAGGGUGGUGACGGUAGUGGUAGAAGAAGCACCGGCUAACUACGUG